GUAUUGUAAAACAUGAUUAUGCAAUGAGUGGUUUAAUAUAUAAUAAGAUCUUGAAAAAGAAAUUUUCUUUCCCAAAUACGCAAGAAGGUUAUUUUACUUAUAGCCCGAAUGGCACACCAUAUUUUUCAAUCCUUCAUUCGGCCAUUUUCACACGCGGCGCCGUUAGCCUGUUUGCGCUGUUCGUGGAAGUUGCAGAGGAUGUACUCAUCGCAUUUCAACGAUGAUAUAAUAUGUACAGCAAAAAUUUAUGGCAAGGGUGACAUGAAUCAGAUUGACAAGAAUCCAUAUUCCUACUCCUCAAUAAUGCUAUCAUCACUGCCAUCAGAUUCAUCAAUGAUAGUGGCAUCAGUGACACAUGCGGAUAAGUGUUGGACAUCACUGCAGGAAUAGCUUCCUUGUUGUGCCUGCCAAUAGCAAGGUACCAGAUUAUACAGCAGUUAUGUGGAAACAGAUUCCCACAAUGGGGGGACCAGAUUGACACCAACAUUGUACAGUAUCAGGCAGUUAUAUCAGAACUGGAAAAACUGGAUCCAAACAAGACUAUAUUGCUUGGAAGAAACAUGUCGACUCUGAAGUUUAACCCUUAUUAACCCAUGGCACUUCCAGAGACAUCCUGAUACCAUCAUUCUAUGUCAUUUGAAAUAUACCUGUGGAGGUUUUUAAAGUGGUUUUUUUGGGGGGGGGGUGUGUGUUAUUAAUUGGAAGAAUUUAUAUUUGAUGAUUCAAAUAAAAAUCUGCAUGUUGAAUUAUGAAUGUCAUAAUAAAUGUACUUUUUGAAUGAGUUCAAGAAUGGUUGUCCUGAUAAAAAGUGUAGAGUCAAAAGUUAACAAAUUGUCAAAAACACUGGUCAGGUCAGAAUUCAUCAUCUUGGACACCUUGCAGUUGGAAUUAUGAUCUCUAUGAAGAAAUGCUGAAAAUCUUGUAAAAGAGGAAAUGACAAGUUGGGGUCCAAGGCACUUGCAUAUAUGCAUGAGAAGGUGUUCUAUCCAGGCUUGAGGUCAAUUACAUAGCAAUGUAACGCCUUACAUUACCUAGAAAAUUUCACAUUACCAUUACUCCUAUUUUGAAAUAUAAUGUAUUACAUUACUUGAGAGUGAAUUUACAUUACACAUUUACAUAACAUACUGUCAGAUAUUAAAGAAAUGGCAGAAAAAUUAUUUCUGUAUUAUGAUUUUUAAUAUAAGUACACAAAAUAUUCAGCAAUGUUAGGAAACAUAUCUAUUAAGUUAUUCAUUGCAUUUGAUUGUCAUCAAUGUUUCAAAUGCUUCAGUCAAUCACUAAUAUAAUGAAUUAUUCUAAAUCUUCAAAAUAUCAUAAAAUAUUUGAAGUAGUGUAAAUGUAAUGAAAAAUAAUGUGCAGUACAGUAUGCAUUACAUUACCAUUACUUGUAAUGCAAAAAUGGUUCAUUACACCCCCAUUACAUUGAAACUGGCUGUCAUUUAAUUACCAUUUCCCCAGGCCUGGUUCUGUCGAGAGGUAUUGAAAUUGUCUAUAGAGACUUUGUCUCAGGAAGUGGCCGAGAUUGGUUGUGACAAAUUUGUUGGAUGUGAAUUUACUGACACACAUGUCUACACUUGCUACACAAUAUAGCAUGUGGUGGUUUCAACAAGAAAGUUCUUACUCUGCAGGAAAUGACGAAUAGCUAAUGGAUUCACAUUUUUUCUGACUUUUCUUCUGUACAUUAGAUGCAUUGGAAAAACUUUCCUUUCCAUUAUCUUUUGCUGGUUCAUACUUUGAAAUAAAAUCAAGUCCGAAAAUAAAGUAUUUUGGGUUUUUUUUUCAAUGAAUUUAAAAAAAAUGUAAUCUGUAAUCCUUGCAUAUUUUCUUGGUGUUCUGUGAUUGCAUAGGCCUAUUGAUUUUUAUUUGUAUUCAGGUAUGAUUUCAUCUUCAGUGUCUUGAAAGAAAUUAAUUUUUCAAUAACGCAAAGAAAAAUGUAGUUAACAGUAUGAUUUAAAAAAAAAAAAUUUGACACGGGUAGGAAUUGAACCCGGAUCUCCCGAUUGAAGGACGGGCUCUCUACCACUAAGCUACGACGUCUAUGAUGUCAUUUGCUCAAAAAUCCUUUAUACAUUUACUUGCCCUAGUUAACGUUAUACUUUCGAUAUAUCGGCAAUAGUUUUAGUUAUAUCAAUGCAUGUUCUAUAAAUUCUUUUCAUUUUGAUCUUAGUAAUUCUGUUGGUGUCGUCUAAAUAAAAACUUUCUAUAGCAUUGAAGGUCCAGUUUGUCGGACAGCAGAUUCGUUUGUUUACGCAUCAAAAUUCUAUAGCUUUUAGAAUAUCCUGCACAAACCUGUGAUAAAAACACCACAUAGGGGUGUAUUCUGCAUGGAAAUGAUGUAAACUCCACAUAAGUAUAUUGUUUUAAUUUUUCAAAGCAACAUAAUUAAUAAAAUACCCACAACUCUCACAAAAAUAAAUAAUUCCGGAUUGCUCUUGAUUUAAUUCAAAGUUGAUAUUCAUCAACAGCACACCUUUCGAUCCAAAAAAUCGUUCGUGCAAAAUUUAUUUGUAUUGAUAGAUUUUGAUAGACUACAGUCAGUUUCUGGAUCGAAGGUCGUGUUUUAUAUGAAUUAUAUGACUAAAUUUGAAAAAAGUGGAUAUUUCUGCAGAAAACCAGACCGAUACCGGUUUUGUCUUGUAUAGAAUUCCACAAGCUGACGUUUUGGCGGGGAAAUCUUGGUACGUCGCGAUGGUAUAAAGAUUAUAUUAUCAAAUGAUAACAAUUUUAUUUCAAUUCAUUCUGCUUUAUUUUUUAACACACCACAGGGCCGAUAUAGCUAAACAUGGUCUUAGUCCUUUCAUUGCAUUUAAGUAGGUUUCUCUUUCAUUGCAAAUAUGAUAAUCAGGGACAAAUGUUCGUUCUAUUUGUACUACUUCAUACAUGCAAUGGAGGAAAAAUCAGCUUGAUCUUCUUAAAUCUAUUUUCUGUAUUAAAACCUUCAGUGAAGCAAUGCAGUUUUGGUGUAAACAAAUGUUCAAUAUAUUGAAACAUUUUCUGCUUGCUAGAUUUCAAAAUAAUUUGGAUACUACUAUUAACUUUGCAUCUCAAUGAAAUUUUGUAUCUCAUGUACUUUCUAUGAUUUCGAAGCAUAAGAGUGCCUGAGAGUGAAGAAAUAUCAAUAUAAUGUAUUCAGAUCUUCUAAUUAGGCUAAAGCAUUGCAUUUUGUCCUUAGCUAUUGUAAAAAAAAUUCUAAAUUAAUUAUCCCAGUAUAUUUCUCACCAGAAGUAAUGGUGAAACAUAUUAUAUAUUAUCUAGAGCUCCAACAAAAAUUGGAGUUGUAAAGAUGUCAGCAGAAUGCCUACCUCCUCACUGUCUGAGUACGAUUUUUUCUUCUUGCUUUUUUUCUUUUUCUUUUCCUUUGUUUUGACAGUGUCUGCAAAAAAUGAUACGUGCCA